GAUGAACGCUGGCGGCGUGCCUAAUACAUGCAAGUCGAGCGAACAGACGAGGAGCUUGCUCCUCUGACGUUAGCGGCGGACGGGUGAGUAACACGUGGAUAACCUACCUAUAAGACUGGGAUAACUUCGGGAAACCGGAGCUAAUACCGGAUAAUAUAUUGAACCGCAUGGUUCAAUAGUGAAAGACGGUUUUGCUGUCACUUAUAGAUGGAUCCGCGCCGCAUUAGCUAGUUGGUAAGGUAACGGCUUACCAAGGCGACGAUGCGUAGCCGACCUGAGAGGGUGAUAGGCCACACUGGAACUGAGACACGGUCCAGACUCCUACGGGAGGCAGCAGUAGGGAAACUUCCGCAAUGGGCGAAAGCCUGACGGAGCAACGCCGCGUGAGUGAUGAAGGUCUUCGGAUCGUAAAACUCUGUUAUUAGGGAAGAACAAAUGUGUAAGUAACUAUGCACGUCUUGACGGUACCUAAUCAGAAAGCCACGGCUAACUACGUG
rnacentral:rRNA from 1 species